rnacentral:rRNA from 1 species
UACGAAGGGGGCUAGCGUUGCUCGGAAUCACUGGGCGUAAAGGGUGCGUAGGCGGGUCUUUUAAGUCAGGGGUGAAAUCCUGGAGCUCAACUCCAGAACUGCCUUUGAUACUGGCGAGCUUGAGUUCGGGAGAGGUGAGUGGAACUGCGAGUGUAGAGGUGAAAUUCGUAGAUAUUCGCAAGAACACCAGUGGCGAAGGCGGCUCACUGGCCCGAUACUGACGCUGAGGUGCGAAAGCGUGGGGAGCAAACAGGG